GUCCGCACAGUAAACGAUGGUCACUCGGUGUUGGCGAUACACAGCCAGCGCCUUAGCGAAAGCGUUAAGUGACCCACCUGGGGAGUACGCCCGCAAGGGUGAAACUCAAAGGAAUUGACGGGGGUCGCACAAGCGGUGGAGCAUGUGGUUUAAUUCGAUGGUACGCGAGGAACCUUACCUGGGCUAGAAUGCCCUUGACAGAUUCAGAGAUGGAUUUUUCCGCAAGGACAAGGAGCAAGGUGCUGCAUGGCUGUCGU
rnacentral:rRNA from 1 species